rnacentral:rRNA from 1 species
CACGCCGUAAACGAUGAUCACUCGUUGUUGGCAAUACAUCGUCAGCGACUGAGCGAAAGCAUUAAGUGAUCCACCUGGGGAGUACGAUCGCAAGAUUGAAACUCAAAGGAAUUGACGGGGGCCCGCACAAGCGGAGGAACAUGUGGUUUAAUUCGAUGAUACGCGAGGAACCUUACCUGGGCUUAAAUGUAGAACGACAGACCGGGAAACUGGUCUUUCUUCGGACGGUCUGCAAGGUGCUGCAUGGCUGUCGUCAGCUCGUGCCGUGAGGUGUCGGGUUAGGUCCCAUAACGAGCGCAACCCUCAUCAUUAGUUGCCAGCGGGUAAUGCCGGGGACUCUAAUGAAACUGCCGGUGUAAACCGAGAGGAAGGUGGGGAUGACGUCAAGUCAGCACGGCCCUUAUGUCCAGGGCUACACACGUGUUACAAUGGUCAGUACAAAGGGCAGCUACCUGGUGACAGGAUGCUAAUCUCUAAAACUGAUCUCAGUUCGGAUCGAAGUCUGCAACUCGACUUCGUGAAGUUGGAUUCGCUAGUAAUCGCGCAUCAGCCACGGCGCGGUGAAUACGUUCCCGGGCCUUGUACACACCGCCCGUCAAGCCAUGGAAGCUGGGGGUACCUGAAGUUCGUAACCGCAAGGAGCGACCUAGGGUAAAACUAGUGACUGGGGCUAAGUCGUAACAAGGUAACCAAGGGCGAA